CACGUAGGCGGAUAUUUAAGUCAGGGGUGAAAUCCCAGAGCUCAACUCUGGAACUGCCUUUGAUACUGGGUAUCUUGAGUAUGGAAGAGGUAAGUGGAAUUCCGAGUGUAGAGGUGAAAUUCGUAGAUAUUCGGAGGAACACCAGUGGCGAAGGCGGCUUACUGGUCCAUUACUGACGCUGAGGUGCGAAAGCGUGGGGAGCGAACA
rnacentral:rRNA from 1 species